AAAACGAAAAAUUCUCCACAUUUUACAUCUGUAGCAGAGCGUAGCCCUCGCUGCCGCCCUCCCCCAUUUGCCGACCAAGGUGCCUGCUGUGAGCGAGCCAUUCUGAAUCCGGAGUCAGCCCGCAUACGCCCUCUCUCUCUUUCGGAUUUCCUCGCGCUCACAAGCCUCUUCUUCCUUGCCGUACAAUAUUUAGUUAGGCUUGUUGGUUUCUGUCGACGGUUGACAUACAGAAGCGUGUAAACAUUCACGCGGCUGCGUAUGCGCGCGGGUACAGCGGCAUACCUCCCCCCUCCCCGACCCCCAUCUCCACGACGCGCUCAUUCCCCUCUCCUCGACAAUCUCACUCCCACACAUACCCCCAUACGAGCCAUCCUGCUUGUAGUCGCACGGACACGCGGUUACGCUCCUUCUGCGUUCGUCGAGCACUCGCGGAAGACAAAAUAUUUUGAACCACACACAGAGGGACAGUGCCGUGUGCUUGUCUCUGUCUCUCCCUCCCUCUAUGCGUGUGUGUGCCUGCAUCCUCUCCCGCUCUCAUCAUCAUUGGUGUCUUGCGUGAGGGGAGGGGGCGGUGCUUUUCUUCUCUGCCAGGGUGCUCGACCAGAACAGAACGAGCCGAAAGGAAAAAAAGCAACGUGGCGAAGCGAAACCGCAUCCGAUCGCCCCCGCGAUCUCCGAGCGACCGCUGCCAUCACAGCAGAGCACGCCGGAGGACACACACGUACACGCAGAGAGAGAGAAGGUAAACCCGCAAAGCAGAAGCAAGCACACAAAAGCAGCACACUCCCAGUGAACCGAGCGUCUUCCUUCCUUCCCCCCUCUCGCUGUUUACGGUGGCCGCACCACGAACAACGGAGGCCGAUCUUUUUUUUUUUUGUCGAUUGCCCCUCCACUUCCUGGGGUUGCUUGUUGCGCUUUUUGUAAGUGUGCAUCUCUAUAUAUAUGUGUGUGUGUGUGCGUGUGUGUGUCGGUGUGUGCUUGCAUCCAGACCUUUUCCUCUCUCCCCUCAACUCCCCGCUUUUGUUCGUGCUACUCUUUUCUUGCGCGCCUUGUGGCCACAUCCCUCGCGCUCUCGUCGCUUCUUUUCCCCUGCACCAUCCUUGCAUUCCUCGAGAUCGAGGUCCUGUGCCCUGGAUAUCUCAAACCUUUUCUUGCUCUGUGCCGUUGCGAAUCCUCUGCUGUGUCGCACUUGCCGCGUGACACGGGCUCUGAACGCUUGACGUUAUCUUGUGCCUCUUCUUGUCUCGUUUGGUUUCUCGUCGCUCUCACGGGCUUCUUCUGUGUGUUGUCUUGUAUUGCGUGUUGCGUCUUCUUCCUUCGUUGUGUUAUUAUUCGCUUGCGCUCACACCACAGCAAGCAAUAUCGUUGCCCUGCCCCGCCCCUCAUCCAUACCCAUUCCUUCUCCUUCGUUCCUGCCUUCUCUUCCUCGCUCUCCCGGAACAGCGGCACAGUGGCAUACCCGACGACGACGAGACAAGAAGGCUGAGGGGAGGGAAAGGGUAUGAGAACAGCAUACAUAGGGAAAGAAAGGAGCUCGAAGAACUGAAGAGACCGGUGUGCCAUUUGAGGCGUAGUUGCCCAAUCCAAGUGAUCUUGAUUUUCCCUUCUACCUCGCCGCUGUCCUCUCGUGGCGUCUUCCGCUUUCACGUCUUCUUUCUCGCUGUGCGUAAAAGCUGACGUAACAUUUCGAGGAGGCACAUGCGUGCGUCGGAACCCAUCCCAGCAGACGACGCAGCCAACAGGGCGUGCCCCCAUUCUCUUAACGACUCCCCAUAUCCCUCUCUCAUGCAAGCUGCUUCAGCUAUGGCGACGGACACCGCCACUAGCAGCGGCAUCGCGGACUUGAAACAGGAGUCGUCGCACGAGGAGCGACUGGAGGUAGCCAAUCACACGGCCGUGAAGGCUUGGAGUGUGCUGAACAAGAUGUGGUACCCGGACUACCAUAUGGCUUCCUUUGCCGGGUGGAUGGGAGUGCCAGGCGGCCUUUGCUACCACAACGGCUUGUAUCAUGUAUUCUAUCAGUAUAACCCCUUCAGCGAGAACUGGGGUCCAAUGCACUGGGGCCACGUGACGAGCGAGGAUCUUGUGCACUGGCAGCACCAGCCCAUCGCCCUCGCUCCAGGGGAGCUGUUUGACCAUGAUGGCUGCUUCUCCGGGUCAUCGGUGAGCUACAACAACAAGCUAUACAUUUUCUAUACCGGGCACACAUGGCGCACCGAGAGUGAGAAAGGCAGCGGCAACGGCGCCAUGGGCGAAGGGGCAUCGUUUUACCAGCAGCAGUGCGUCGCCGUCAGCAGCGACGGCGUGAACUUCGAGAAGCUCGGCGCCGUCGUGCGCCCGCCACCGGGGUACGUGCACUUCCGUGACCCGAAGGUGUGGCAGCAGGACGGGCGGUGGUGGAUGGUGUGUGGUGCCCGUGACGUGACGAAGGACCUUGGCCAGCUGCUGCUCUUCGCCACAGAAGACCUGCUUAAGUGGGACGACACGAACUGGCAGGUGCUGGGGAUGACGGAGGACAAGAACGUGUUCAUGUGGGAGUGCCCCGACCUCUUUCGGUUAGAUCAGAUGGACGUCUUCUUGUACUCGCCGCAAGGGAUGCGGAAGGCUGGCUAUGCCAACCGCAAUCGGUUCCAGAGCGGCUACCUGCUCGGCUCGUGGAACACGUCAUUGGUGACGGUGGCGUUAUCAGAGCGGGAGGCACUCUCGCCGAAGGACACCGCUAGCGGUGGCCACGCCGUUGACGGACCCCGCUGGCUGACCUCGUUCGACGUGACGCAGCGCUUCCGCGAGAUCGAUCGCGGCCAUGACUUCUACGCACCGCAGACUCUGCCCACCAAGGAUGGGCGGCGUCUCAUCAUAGGCUGGAUGGACAUGUGGGAGAGCCCCAUGCCGACGCGCGGACACGGCUGGAGCGGCUGCCUGACGCUGCCACGGGAGCUGAUUUUAGAUCCAUUCACGGGCAGUGUUCGCAUGGUGCCGCCCAAGGAGCUGCUGCAGCUGCGAUGCGCGCAGGCCACCAUUUCCGCUCAGCGAAUUCAGGAGAGCACCGACGUGCUUCUUGUGGAGGACUGCACUGCCUACGAGCUCGAUAUUGCGUUCAACAUGGAAACGAGCACGGCGGAGAAGUACGGGCUGUGGCUCGGCUCAGGGGCAGAGCUGUACGUGGACGCGCAGUCGAAACGGCUGGUGCUGAACCGCCACUACCCGCAACACAUGCUGAGUGGGUAUCGCUCCUGCGAGAUGCCGACGGGUUUGCUUCUGCAGCUGCACGUGUUCAUUGACCGCUCGUCGAUUGAGGUGUUCGUGAACAACGGCGAGGCCACCUUCUCUUCCCGCGUCUUCCCGGACGAGGGCGACCGGGCACUGCGCGUCUUCUCGGUCAACGGGACUGCGGACAUGGUGGGCGGUACCAUGUGGAAGCUGAAGGCGACGGUGAGGCACUGAGCCCUCCUGCCCUGCGUGAGAAGGCGUGCGCCUGCGUGACGCUCGACCUCGUCGGCAGUGUCGCGCACCGAACGAUUGGCGCCUCCUUCUUUCGCUUUGCCCGUCUCGUCCGCCCGCCCGCCCGCCCCUCCGGUGCACACGCCGUGGCGAUCCCAUCGCCCGCUGGACAACUCCGCCCUCCCCCUCCUUGUGCCUUCCGCUCUUCUCGCUGCAGCCGCAAUCCGUGGCCGCGCUACGUGAAACGGGCGAAACACGCAAAAGGGCCGAGGGGGGGGGACGGAGAGGAAGGCCCGAAAGCCCCCUCUGCGCGCGUGUGUGUGCACUCGGGGAGCGUGCUGUCGUCGCUGCUUUCGAUUUGCCGUUGCACACUCGUUGUCGCAUCUCUUUUCCGGCUUCCGGGGGAACGGCAGAGGCCUGCACCAGCGCACGCAUGCCCCGCAUGCACUUGUGUGUGUGUACGGAUGCAUGCAUGGGUCUCUGCAUUUGAGUGUGCGCAUCUCUGUGCCUCUAUUCUUCAUUCUUUUCGUACCACUUUUUCGUUUCCGCCUGAUGCUGCCGGCCACCUUGGCGCGGCAUCAGGGACCAGUGCCCACUCUGUGGGGCAGCCCAGCAGCCCUUCCCCCAUCCCCCUGCCGAUGCCGAGCCACCUUCCGGUGGUGACAGUUUCAAGCCCCGGACGGCGGCGCGUCGGAGCGACCUGCGCCAGCGCACACGUCUGUACCGUCCAGAUGAUGGGCAGCGUGCCAGCGUGGCUGGCGCGCAUCCCGCCCCCCGCCCUCGCACUGCCCACUGGUGCGGGGCCGGCGUGCCACCGCGUACGGGCUGCACCACGUGGGUGGCGACUGGUGGCACGAUGGGAGCGGCUGCGCGGCGGCCUGCGAGGCGGCGGGUGCUGUGUAGAGUUUGAGGCAGAGGCGGCGCUGGGCGGACUGAGUCGGCGCACUGCUGUACCGCGUGUGCGCCUACGGCUGCAGUGCAGGAGGCGAUGGGGGCCUGUGGCAGGCCGGCGGGCGGGCGGCGGCUCGGGCGUGGCGUUGGCCGCACGCUUGUCUGGGCAGCGAGUGGGUGCGCUGAGGACGCAGAAAAAGUGUCCAAUGGACACGACAGCGUUAUUGUUGCUGUGGGCGCGAGUUCUAGUCUCGAUUUUCUUCAGGGAAAGGGCUGCAGCAACCUUGUUGCCCUUUUGGGUCUUGUGACUGCUGUCGUCGGUAUGUUUGGAGUUCCCACUGGCCAUGUGGACUCCCUCCGGGCUCCAUCAGGUGAGACAG
rnacentral:misc_RNA from 1 species